rnacentral:rRNA from 1 species
GAUGAACGCUGGCGGCGUGCCUAAUACAUGCAAGUCGAGCGAACGGACGAGAAGCUUGCUUCUCUGAUGUUAGCGGCGGACGGGUGAGUAACACGUGGAUAACCUACCUAUAAGACUGGGAUAACUUCGGGAAACCGGAGCUAAUACCGGAUAAUAUUUUGAACCGCAUGGUUCAAAAGUGAAAGACGGUCUUGCUGUCACUUAUAGAUGGAUCCGCGCUGCAUUAGCUAGUUGGUAGGGUACGGCUUACCAAGGCAACGAUGCAUAGCCGACCUGAGAGGGUGAUCGGCCACACUGGAACUGAGACACGGUCCAGACUCCUACGGGAGGCAGCAGUAGGGAAUCUUCCGCAAUGGGCGAAAGCCUGACGGAGCAACGCCGCGUGAGUGAUGAAGGUCUUCGGAUCGUAAAACUCUGUUAUUAGGGAAGAACAUAUGUGUAAGUAACUGUGCACAUCUUGACGGUACCUAAUCAGAAAGCCACGGCUAACUACGUG